rnacentral:rRNA from 1 species
AGUGAACGCUGGCGGUAGGCCUAACACAUGCAAGUCGAACGGCAGCACAGUAAGAGCUUGCUCUUACGGGUGGCGAGUGGCGGACGGGUGAGGAAUACAUCGGAAUCUACUUUUUCGUGGGGGAUAACGUAGGGAAACUUACGCUAAUACCGCAUACGACCUACGGGUGAAAGCAGGGGAUCUUCGGACCUUGCGCGAUUGAAUGAGCCGAUGUCGGAUUAGCUAGUUGGCGGGGUAAAGGCCCACCAAGGCGACGAUCCGUAGCUGGUCUGAGAGGAUGAUCAGCCACACUGGAACUGAGACACGGUCCAGACUCCUACGGGAGGCAGCAGUGGGGAAUAUUGGGCAAUGGGCGCAAGCCUGAUCCAGCCAUACCGCGUGGGUGAAGAAGGCCUUCGGGUUGUAAAGCCCUUUUGUUGGGGAAGAAAAGCAGUAGGUUAAUACCCCGCUGUUCUGACGGUACCCAAAGAAUAAGCACCGGCUAACUUCGUG